GGGCGUGUGGCGUAGUCGGUAGCGCGCUCCCUAUCCAUGGGAGAGGUCUCCGGUUCGAUUCCGGACUCGUCCA
rnacentral:tRNA from 1 species